GACGUAGGGCGCGAGCGUUGUCCGGAUUUAUUGGGCGUAAAGAGCUCGUAGGCGGUCUGUCGCGUCUGCUGUGAAAACUCAGGGCUUAACCCUGAGCUUGCAGUGGGUACGGGCAGACUAGAGUGCGGUAGGGGAGACUGGAAUUCCUGGUGUAGCGGUGAAAUGCGCAGAUAUCAGGAGGAACACCGGUGGCGAAGGCGGGAUCCUGGGCCAGUACUGACGCUGAGGAGCGAAAGCGUGGGGAGCAAACAGG
rnacentral:rRNA from 1 species